AGGAAGCGAAGAGGUGUCAGGUGUUGUACAUGGAGGAUAUUACAGAGGGGUGGUUUGCUAGAUGUCGAGAUACAGGUGGCUGGAAGUAAAGAGCCCAGGAAUGUCUCACAAAUACCCUAUCCGAGAUGGAAUAAAUAAUUGGAGAAAGUUCAAAAAUAUAUGACUCUGGUUUAACACUCUGUUUGGCUGGCGACCAUAAAAAGUAAAGGAAGGUAAAAUUUUGUAAAUAUGGGAUGGGUUGAUUUUUAUUUUGUGGUUGGGGAUUUUGUGAGCAUAUUAUCUGCCCAAAUUUUCUCAUGAACAUACAAAUAUUCAAAUUUAAAUAUCAAGGAUCAUGCC
rnacentral:lncRNA from 1 species